AAAAUAUUGAAUGUUGUCUACAAACAAGUUUUUCAGAAUAUUUCGUAGUCACGGUACGUAAUUUUAAUCUACUUUUUUUUUUCAAAUACAAAUUUUAAAAUGAAUAAACUGUUGCAAUUAUUUAUUUUUUGUAUUUGGUAGAUUGGUUGUGAUGAUUUAGGAGACCGAUGACGGUAUGUCAAUUUAAUAUUAUUUCAUGUUCAAUAAAAUUUAGAAAUUUAUAAAUCUAUCAAAUAAUGUUAACCCGUCAAAUUGUUUACAAAAUUUAUUUAAUUUUUUACAAGUUUCUAAUUGAAUUUGUUUUUUUUUAUCGAGAAAUAUACUUCAUAAUUUAUAUUAUUUAUGGAUAAUAUUUUGAUUUUUAUUAUAUUUUAUUUUAAUAUGUCUACAUAAAUA
rnacentral:lncRNA from 1 species